UCUCCGUUGGUGAACCAGCGGAGGGAUCAUUACCGAGUUUUUCUACUCCCAAACCCCUGUGAACUUAUACCUUAGUUGCUUUGGCAGGCCGUGGAAACACCAUGGGCUCCGGCUUAUGCGUGCCUGCCAGAGGAAACAAACUCUGUUUUUAGUGAUGUCUGAGUACUAUAUAAUAGUUAAAACUUUCAACAACGGAUCUCUUGGUUCUG
rnacentral:misc_RNA from 1 species